rnacentral:rRNA from 1 species
AACGGGUGAGUAACACGUGGGUAACCUGCCCAUCAGAAGGGGAUAACACUUGGAAACAGGUGCUAAUACCGUAUAACAAUCAAACCGCAUGGUUUUGAUUUGAAAGGCGCUUUCGGGUGUCGCUGAUGGAUGGACCCGCGGUGCAUUAGCUAGUUGGUGAGGUAACGGCUCACCAAGGCCACGAUGCAUAGCCGACCUGAGAGGGUGAUCGGCCACAUUGGGACUGAGACACGGCCCAAACUCCUACCGGAGGCCGCCGUAGGGAAUCUUCGGCAAUGGACGAAAGUCUGACCUAGCUACGCCGCGCGAGUAAAGAAGGUUUUCCGAUCGUAAAACUCUGUUGUUAGAGAAGAACAAGGAUGAGAGUAACUGUUCAUCCCUUGACGGUAUCUUACCAGAAAGCGACGGCUAACUACGUGCCAACAGCCGCGGUAAUACGUAGACCUGCAAGCGUUGUCCGGAUUUAUUGGGCGUAAAGCGAGCGCAGGCGGUUUCUUAAGUCUGAUGUGAAAGCCCCCGGCUCAACCGGGGAGGGUCAUUGGAAACUGGGAGACUUGAGUGCAGAAGAGGAGAGUGCAAUUCCAUGUGUAGCGGUUCAAUGCGUAGAUAUAUGGAGUAUCACCGGUGGCGAAGGCGGCUCUCUGGUCUGUAACUGACGCUGAGGCUUUGAAAGCGUGGGGAGCAAACAGGAUUAGAUACCCUGGUAGUCCACGGCGGUA